CAGCAGCCGCGGUAAUGCGUAGGGUGCAAGUGUUAAUCGGAAUUACUGGGCGUAAAGCGUGCGCAGGCGGUUCGUUAAGACAGAUGUGAAAUCCCCGGGCUUAACCUGGGAACUGCAUUUGUGACUGGCGGGCUAGAGUAUGGCAGAGGGAGGUAGAAUUCCACGUGUAGCAGUGAAAUGCGUAGAGAUGUGGAGGAACACCGAUGGCGAAGGCAGCCCCCUGGGCCAGUACUGACGCUCAUGCACGAAAGCGUGGGGAGCAAACAGGAUUAGAUACCCGGGUAGUCCCUGUCUCUUAUAC
rnacentral:rRNA from 1 species